GGGGAUCCUGCUCCAGCCAAGCAGCUGCCGUUGAGCUGAAAAAUAUCAUCUCAGAGUUUUAUUUGGGGAUCUGAGAAGCCCAGCUUGUCAAAACUGGUGUCUGGCCCGUGGGGAACGGAUGGCUCAUCUCCAGUAUGUGCUCCCAGCUGAAAGCAGUCAACAAGCUCUGCUGUAACUGAGCCAAUUUUUCAAAGCGUUCCGCUGAUGUGAUUGGUAUCGUCCUCGGGCUGGAUGGGUCCACUCUCAGCGACGGGGAAGGGGAAGGAAAGACCUCCAGCCCUGAGAUCCAUCUUGCAGGCUGCUCUGGGCUGACUGCCUGGCCGUCCUGCCCGCCUGCCCAGGCCAGAUGCAGCGAGGCCAGAUGGAGGAGCUAAUCACUGGAGCAGCAGGCAGUGCGGCCGCUCCUGAUCGGAACGUGUUUAGGUAGCCCACGGGAUGGGGUUCAGUAUGUUCA